rnacentral:rRNA from 1 species
CCCUUAGAUGUCCUGGGCCGCACGCGCGCUACACUAAUGCAUUCAACGAGUUUUACCUUGGCCGAGAGGCCUGGGCAAUCUUUUAAACCUGCAUCGUGAUAGGGAUAGAUUAUUGCAAUUUUUAAUCUUGAACGAGGAAUUCCUAGUAAACGCAAAUCAUCAAUUUGCAUUGAUUACGUCCCUGCCCUUUGUACACACCGCCCGUCGCACCUACCGAUUGAAUGGUCCGGUGAAGCCUCGGGAUUGUGGCCAGUUCACUUUAUUGGGAGUUGGCUGUGAGAACUUGUCUAAACCUUAUCAUUUAGAGGAAGGUGAAGUCGUAACA